AAGGGAGACCUAAUUCGGGUAGGAGACGAAAAAAAAGUAGUCGCUACCAAGAAUCAAUCCCAAAAGGUCGGAGCGAGGCAAGAUUGGCUUUCAAACUAGGUUCUGGGUUCACACAAGACCUGAAUCAGGAACAAGGGCUAUUAGCUCAGGUGGUUAGAGCGCACCCCUGAUAAGGGUGAGGUCCCUGGUUCGAGUCCAGGAUGGCCCACCUGUACAGGUGGCAAAAACAAAGAAAAGAAGCGAGGAAUCAGCACCUUAUCUUACUUAUAUAGUAAGAGAGAAUGCUGGCUCUGAGUAAAGAGUCCAGAGGAACCUUGAAAACUGCAUAGAGCUAGGUGAAAAAGCCAAAAAAGAAGACCGCAA
rnacentral:tRNA from 1 species